ensembl:lncRNA CHROMR cholesterol induced regulator of metabolism RNA
CCGCAAAGCCCCCGGCAGAGCCGAGGGGAGGCUUCAUUGGCGACCUGGUGGGGCCUCGCGGCCCUGCUCCCUGACGUCAGCGCCGCCGCGGUGAUUUAACAGCUUUUGUUUUGGGCAGAAGAACCUAUGGGCACAAAAAGCAGGAACGAGUAGCGGUGGCUGAAGAACGAGCAGGAGCUUGAAUUUCAGUUUUCUUAUGAGGAAUUUUCCAGAAAAGAUAUCUUCACUGUGAAAUAACUAAAUAAAUGCCCACUCAGUACACUUUCCCUGCACUCCAAACACAGAGCUGAGACUUCCACCUAAUGUAGAAAGCUAGCACGAGCCGGCGCUGACAGAUGGAAGACUUGAGAUGUUACAAGAUUAUAUAUGGAAACACAAAAGGAGUGGAGUUGCUGGGUCAUAUGGCAAUUCAUUUGAGGAACUGAGAAGCUUAUUCCAUGGAGGCUGAACUGUUUUAUAUUCCCACCAGCAACGUGUAAGGUUCCAGUUUAUCUACAUCAUCACCAACACUUGCUAUUUUCCAUUUCAUUAAUGAUAGCCAUCCUAGUGGAUUUGAAGUGGUACCUUAUUAUCGUGGUUUUGAUUGCAUUCUCUAUUGACUAAUGAUAUCGAGCAUCUUUUCAUGUAUUUUUUGGUCAUUUGGUCAUUUUUCUUUUUUAAUUUUAAAAUUUUGAGACAGGCUCUCACUAUGUUGCCCAGGUGGUCUCAAACUCCUGGGUUCCAGCGAUGCUCAUGCCUCAGUCUCCCAAAGGGGUGGGAUUACAGGUGUGAGCCACUUUGCCCAGCCCAUUUGUAUAUCUCCUUUGGAGAAUAUCUAGGUUCUUUUGAAGGUAGCUGCAUAUAAACUAGCCAAAUUAACAGACUGUGGUUUUUAGAUGGCUUUCCAUAUCUACAAGAACUAUUUAGUUCUCAAAACUGGGAAGAAAUGUUUCAGAGGCAUCAUUAAUUCAUAAUCUAAAAAUUUAUCUUGGGUUUCCUUUUUUCCCCCAGAUUCUGUAUCCUCCAUAGUCCUAUUCAUGACAUGGGUCGUUCAUCUCUGUAUUCUAAACCCUCAAUGAACUGUAGACAGUAAUAAAUAUUUAUUGGAUGAA